rnacentral:misc_RNA from 1 species
GUAGGAGUGAGCCUGCUCGCGAUGGCGUCGCAUCAGUCAGUAAUGAGUUGACUGACACACCGCUAUCGCGAGCAGGCUCACUCCUAC